rnacentral:lncRNA from 1 species
UCGGCAUCCCGAUCUCCGUACCCUAUGGAGGCCUCCAGAUCCGGGCGCUUUAAAGAUCAACAUCGACGGGGCUUAUCAACCAGGAAGCAUUAUAGGAUCAGUCGCUUAUAUUUGCCGCGACCACACCGGUAAGUUGAUUGAAGGAUUCACGAAGAUCGUACCUGCAGAUUCGGCAUUGAAGGUCGAGGCGGAAGCCCUGAAUAUUACUCUGCAUCAUCUGAUCAACACCAACGAAAAUAGGGUUUCUCUCAUCGAAUCUGAUUGUCUUCUCCUCGUUGAAGCGGUUCGGAAAACGGAUGCAUCUCCAUGGGAGAUCAGACCCUUGAUCACCGAAGCUGUAGCUUUCCUCUCGCGUCUUCCCCGUCUGUGUGUUCAAUUUUGCCCUAGAAAGGCUAAUUCAGCGGCAGAUUGGGCCGCGAAGGCCUGCAACAGUGGCUCUUUAUCUGAAACUUGGGCUUCGUCCCCUCCUGCUCCCUUGUUAGCUUUAUUAGCUUCUGAUAGUCGUCAAGCAGGUUGUAAUUUUCGGUUCAGCUAAUGCAAUGUUUCUUUCCGUC